rnacentral:rRNA from 1 species
AUUGAACGCUGGCGGCAGGCCUAACACAUGCAAGUCGAGCGGAGCGGCGAACGGGGGAGUAAUGCCUAGGAAUCUGCCUGGUAGUGGGGGAUAACGUCGGGAAACGGGCGCUAAUACCGCAUACUAGCAGAUCAGCCUCGGUCGGAUUAGCUGGUUGGUGGGGUAAAGGCCUACCAAGGCGACGAUCCGUAACUGGUCUGAGAGGAUGAUCAGGCACACUGGAACUGAGACACGGUCCAGACUCCUACGGGAGGCAGCAGUGGGGAAUAUUGGGCAAUGGGCGAAAGCCUGAUCCAGCCAUGCCGGGUGGGUGAAGAAGGUCUUCGGAUUGUAAAGCACUUUAAGUUGGGAAGCGUUACCAACAGAAUAAGCACCGGCUAACUCCGUGACAGCAGCCGCGGUAAUUC